GCCUUCGUGGUGCAAUGGUCAGCACACUCGGCGCUAAUUCCAGAGGUCCGAGGUUCGAGUCCCGUCGAGGGCA
rnacentral:tRNA from 1 species